rnacentral:rRNA from 1 species
GACAGAGGAGCCAAGCGUUGUCCGGAUUGACUGGGCGUAAAGCGCACGCAGGCGGAUGCGCGCGUGGGGUGUGAAAUCUGGCCGCUUAACGGCCAGGCGCCAUCCCAUACGGCGCGUCUGGAGUGAUGCAGAGGUCGAUGGAAUUGCCGGUGUAGUGGUGAAAUGCGUAGAGAUGUGGAGGAACACCUGUGGCGAAGGCGCCUUGCUGGCCGAUUUCUGACGCUGAGGCGCGAAAGCGUGGGGAGCAAACAGG